rnacentral:rRNA from 1 species
GACGAACGCUGGCGGCGUGCCUAAUACAUGCAAGUCGAACGCAGUGGGGACGGGUGAGUAAAACGUGGGUAACCUCCCCAUCAGAGGGGAUAACACUUGGAAACAGGUGCUAAACCGAUAUUGAUGGAUGGACCCGCGGUGUAUUAGCUAGUUGGUGAGGUAACGGCUCACCAAGGCCACGAUGCAUAGCUUACCUGAGAGGGUGAUCGGCCACACUGGAACUGAGAAACGGUCCAGACUCCUACGGGAGGCAGCAGUAGGGAAUCUUCGGCAAUGGAGGAAACUCUGACCGAGCCACGCCGCGUGAGUGAAGAAGGUUUUCGGAUCGUAAAACUCUGUUAUUAGAGAAGCGGUAUCUAACCAGAAAGCCACGGCUAACUACGUGCCAGCAGCCGCGGUAAUAC